UUUCGCAAUGCCCGAAAGGGUGACGAAGCGACGCCGCGUGCGGGAAGAAGGCCUUCGGGUUGUAAACCGCUGUCGGGAGUUAAGAAAUGUAAGGAUGUUAAUAGCAUCUUUGCUUGACUAAGGCUCCGGAGGAAGCCACGGCUAACUCUGUGCCAGCAGCCGCGGUAAUACAGAGGCGGCAAGCGUUGUUCGGAAUUAUUGGGCGUAAAGAGCACGUAGGCGGCUAUGUAAGUCGGUUGUGAAAGCCUUCCGCUCAACGGGAGAACAGCAUCCGAUACUGCAUGGCUUGAGUGCGGGAGGGGAGAGUGGAACUUCUGGUGGAGCGGUGAAAUGCGUAGAUAUCAGAAGGAACGCCGGCGGCGAAAGCGGCUCUCUGGCCCAUAACUGACGCUGAGUGUGCGAAAGCUAGGGGAGCAAACGGGAUUAGAUCCCCCGGUAGUCCUAGCCGUAAACGAUGGGCACUAAGUAGAGGGGUUUUA
rnacentral:rRNA from 1 species